GACGAACGCUGGCGGCGUGCCUAAUACAUGCAAGUAGAACGCACAGUUUAUACCUUAGCUUGCUACACCAUAGACUGUGAGUUGCGAACGGGUGAGUAACGCGUAGGUAACCUGCCAGGUAGCGGGGGAUCACCAUUGGAAACGAUAGCUAAUACCGCAUAAUAUUGAUUAUUGCAUGAUAAUUAAUUGAAAGGUGCAAUUGCACCACUACCAGAUGGACCUGCGUUGUAUUAGCUAGUAGGUGAGGUAACGGCUCACCUAGGCGACGAUACAUAGCCGACCUGAGAGGGAGAUCGGCCACACUGGGACUGAGACACGGCCCAGACUCCUACGGGAGGCAGCAGUAGGGAAUCUUAGGCAAUGGACGAGAGUCUGACCGAGCAACGCCGCGUGAGUGAAGAAGGUUUUCGGAUCGUAGAGCUCUGUUGUAAGAGAAGAACGGGUGUGAGAGUGGAAAGGUCACACUGUGCCGGUAUCUUACCAGAAAGGGACGGCUAACUACGUG
rnacentral:rRNA from 1 species